GUGUGCUCGCUUUGGCGCACAUAUACUAAAACUGGAAUGAUACAGAGGUUAGCAUGGCCCCUGUGCAAGGAUGACAUGCAAAUUCAUGAUGUGUUCUGUAAUUUU